AGUCAAGCAGUCCAGAUGGAACACCUCAUACCAGUGGGAUGAAAUUGAACAUGGAGUCUCUUUGCAGAAAUCUUUUCUGCUUGGAGUUGUGCAUGCCAGCUUUUCGAGACUAAGAUAGAUAUGAGUCCUCCAUGCCGGAUGUGUAACACAGCCCUAUAAAUGAGGACAAUAAAGAAUACUCAGAGAUGCCAGAGGAAGAUAUUCCAGCAGGGACCCAGAAAAAGGAGAUCCUGUGAAACUGAAGGGAACCUGUGACUGUGCAGCAGGAUUUGGGACCACGACCAUGACUCCAACACCUCAGACCCUGUGGCCCAGUUCAAGAAAUGCACAUCACAUA